rnacentral:rRNA from 1 species
CAGAUUGGGAUAACUCCGGGAAACCGGGGCUAAUACCGAAUAACAUUGGAAGCCUCAUGGCUUCCUUUUGAAAGGCGGCUUCGGCUGUCACUGCAGGAUGGGCCCGCGGCGCAUUAGCUAGUUGGUGGGGUAACGGCCCACCAAGGCCACGAUGCGUAGCCGACCUGAGAGGGUGAUCGGCCACACUGGGACUGAGACACGGCCCAGACUCCUACGGGAGGCAGCAGUAGGGAAUCUUCCGCAAUGGACGAAAGUCUGACGGAGCAACGCCGCGUGAGUGAAGAAGGUUUUCGGAUCGUAAAACUCUGUUGUCAGGGAAGAACAAGUACGGGAGUAACUGCCCGUACCUUGACGGUACCUGGCCAGAAAGCCACGGCUAACUACGUGCCAGCAGCCGCGGUAAUACGUAGGUGGCAAGCGUUGUCCGGAAUUAAUUGGGCGUAAAGCGCGCGCAGGCGGCCUUUUAAGUCUGAUGUGAAAGCCCCCGGCUCAACCGGGGAGGGUCAUUGGAAACUGGAAGGCUUGAGUGCAGAAGAGAAGAGCGGAAUUCCACGUGUAGCGGUGAAAUGCGUAGAGAUGUGGAGGAACACCAGUGGCGAAGGCGGCUCUUUGGUCUGUAACUGACGCUGAGGCGCGAAAGCGUGGGGAGCGAACAGGAUUAGAUACCCUGGUAGUCCACGCCGUAAACGAUGAGUGCUAAGUGUUGGGGGGUUUCCGCCCCUCAGUGCUGCAGCUAACGCAUUAAGCACUCCGCCUGGGGAGUACGGCCGCAAGGCUGAAACUCAAAGGAAUUGACGGGGGCCCGCACAAGCGGUGGAGCAUGUGGUUUAAUUCGAAGCAACGCGAAGAACCUUACCAGGUCUUGACAUCCCGCUGGCCGGUAUAGAGAUAUACCUUUCCCUUCGGGGACAGCGGUGACAGGUGGUGCAUGGUUGUCGUCAGCUCGUGUCGUGAGAUGUUGGGUUAAGUCCCGCAACGAGCGCAACCCUUGAUCUUAGUUGCCAGCAUUUAGUUGGGCACUCUAAGGUGACUGCCGGUGACAAACCGGAGGAAGGUGGGGAUGACGUCAAAUCAUCAUGCCCCUUAUGACCUGGGCUACACACGUGCUACAAUGGAUGGUACAAAGGGCUGCAAGACCGCGAGGUUUA